CAAGGACAUCACGUCUACUACUAGCCUACGUGCAAAGACAACAGCUGGCAGCAGUCUGCCCUGUGUGAAAAUGCCAUGAAAAUGCCAUGAGCUGUCAUGUGACACAUGCAAACACAAGAAAGCGGAAACGCAUGAUGGAGCGAGAGCCACAGUGGGGUGUGUUUUCCUGAAGAGGCUGAAACAUGCUGGCCUUGACACCUCAGUCCUUGCUUCCAUUAACAGCUGUGUUAUGGAGCGCAUCCUCGGGUUAGGAUGUGCUAACCCACAUCAUGGUCUUCUGCAGCGGGUGGAUACAGAGGACAAUCGGCAGUAGGUUAGUGUUGAUCAUUUGUUUGGUACCUAUUCCUUCAAGAGGGGUGCCAGUGUCCUGAUGCUGACCAGUGCCACCGGUUCCGCCACUUGCUUCCUGCUGGAGCCUAAGCACCAACUGGAUGAGGGGACUCCUCUCUGUGUUGAAUCCCCGGCUCUCUAAGGCUUUGAAGUGGAGAGUGGUGUCGAACUACAAGACAGCCAGCAUGUAAACAAGGCCUUGUUUGUCCUUGUUUGGCUACUCAUCACUCUUCUACUUCCUGAAGAGGCUGAAGCAUGCUGGCCUUGACACCUCAGUCCUUGCUUCCAUUAACAGCUGUGUUAUGGAGCACAUCGUCAUCAUUGUCUACUACUGCAACGGGUGGAUAAGGAGGGCAAAUGGCAGGUAUUUUACAUCACUUUUACAUUACUUUUACUGUCAUAUUUAGAAAAUAGUCAUGAUCCCCCAUUCAAAAAAGUAAAACUUUACUUUGUUGAUAUCAAAACUUACACCUGGCUUGACAUAGUUGGAUUGGCGUUAGUGAAACGAGUUGCGCAAGGAUGACCAGACAACGCUAUCCGCUUUAUCACUUAUCUUGGAUGUCUUAAUUCUGCUUUUGUGAAACCCCACUGCUGUUGUUGUCUGUU